rnacentral:rRNA from 1 species
CGAUGAUACGCGAGAAACCUUACCAGGGCUUGACAUAUACAGGAAUGUUGUAGAGAUACAGCAGCCGCUUGCGGUCUGUAUACAGGUGCUGCAUGGCUGUCGUCAGCUCGUGCUGUGAAGUGUUGGGUAAGUCCCGCAACGAGCGCAACCCCUAUCAUCUGUUGCCAGCAUUUAAGGUGGGGACUCAGAUGAGACUGCCGGUGACAAACCGGAGGAAGGUGGGGACGACGUCAAGUCAUCAUGGCCCUUAUGUCCUGGGCUACACACGUGCUACAAUGGCCGGUACAGAGUGAAGCGAAACCGCGAGGUGAAGCAAAACGCAGAAAGCCGGUCUCAGUACGGAUUGGAGUCUGAAACUCGACUUCAUGAAGUUGGAAUCGCUAGUAAUCGCGCAUCAGCAUGGCGCGGUGAAUACGUUCCCGGGCCUU